CAGUGUGACAAAGACGAUGGGGAAAUUCAACUAUCAUAGGGAG
rnacentral:ribozyme from 1 species